UACGUAGGGGGCGAGCGUUGUCCGGAUUUAUUGGGCGUAAAGAGCGUGUAGGCGGCCAGGUAGGUCUGCUGUGAAAACUCGAGGCUCAACCUCGAGACGUCGGCGGAAACCAUCUGGCUAGAGUCCGGAAGAGGAGAGUGGAAUUCCUGGUGUAGCGGUGAAAUGCGCAGAUAUCAGGAAGAACACCCGUGGCAAAGGCGGCUCUCUGGUACGUGACUGACGCUGAGACGCGAAAGCGUGGGGAGCGAACAGG
rnacentral:rRNA from 1 species